rnacentral:miRNA from 1 species
UUGCUACUUUGAUACCCCACCAG